UCAUGAUCAUGGCUAAACUGGCCAAGCUGCGUUGCAACUUCAUCUCCACCAUCCCGGCAUUGCUUUUCAUCAAAAGUAUCACCAUCCUGGGCGUCAUCUUCUUUAACCCCUCCUGGGCUUUCUUCUAUAACUAUGAAUACGAGGCCUUGGUGAUGGCCAACCCAUGGGUCAUAUGCGUGAGGAAGCAGUGUAAGGUCAUCAAGCACAUCGGACAAGCCGAAGCCUGUCGCGUGUGUCUGGUGGUAUCCCUGGUCCUGUCUAUGCCUCUGGGCAUAAGCGUGCUGGCCCACAUCUUGGGACUGCUGUCCAGCUCGCUGCCAGAGACCAUGCCCUUCUUCACGAGCAUCCUUUGUCUGGCAAACGGUUUGGUCAAGUUUCUCGCCUUCAUAUUCUUCCACCUCCUGUUGACUCAGCUCAAGUUCCUCCUUCGGCUGUUCGAUAUGUGGCUCAGCUGGCCCUCCUACUUGCUCCUGACGUCCUCGGUGAUCUACAUCGUGGUCGGGUCCAUCAUCUUCCAUUAUCACCUUCAUCUCCUCACUUCCCAGAAAAAGCCUUUAGAGAAGCUGGUGAUUUCCGAAAACACAAUCGUCACGAAGAGUUUGAAAAAUUUCUUAGCCUCCAGAAUGACUGAAAAAUCUGUCGGCACAAAGACCAAAACCACCCUCACCAGAGGUCUUGAUGUCUUCUUGCACCCAAAGUUCAAAAGAACUCGACCUUCAAGUCUCAGGAAGUCCCACUUCUUUAAAAGAGUUUCUAUUGCCAAGCUGUCUAACAGAUCCUGGAGCUCUGAGCAGCCUUGGGUCUCCCAAAACCUUAAAACCUCUUCAUAUCCCAUGGGCUUUAAGGUUCAGCCAAUCAUUAUGAAUCCCCUUCCCUCUGUGAUUUCCGAUGUUCCAAGUACUUCAAGUCACACAAAACUCUAAAGUCUUGCUCCCAAGAGCUCAGACACUUCUCCUCGUUGCUCUCUCCCCACGGUCACAAUUCUCCUCCUGGAGGAGUCCUCCGCGGAUCCUGAUGCUGCUGGAGGUGUCUAACCUUUGUCCUUUCCCUCAUAACUCCCCUCUCAAGCUCGAGCCAAGAUUUGCCCUCUGUGAGAUCCAUCUCUGGCCCUGUUGAGGACCUGGUGUAGACAGGAGCCUGGAUAUGUAUGGACUGUGGGGAAGCCAGAUGGAGCAGAAAAUGAAGAUGUGUGAAGACAGAAGGAUAAAAAAGAGAUGAAUGUCUAUUUCCUACAUUGUGUUGUCAUUAAAGAAAGCCUGAGACUUCCUCCCGAACCAGUGUUCCACCAUCUCCGUUAUGUUUCCUGACUCCAUCUCUAACUCCGCUCCCCACCUGUAUCCCUCCUCCAUCACAUCCCUAUCUUUAAGCCCAGUCCCAGUUUGAUCAUUAACUCCAACCUGAUGUCCACCCCCACUCUCUCCUCUAACCCAUAUUCUUAUCUUUCCCCUCAUGUCUAACUCCCAUUCCACUAUCCUCCCCAAGCCAUAGCCAACUCACCACACCCCCAAAUUCAUGCCUAUUUCCUACUGUUAGCUCCAUUUCUAACUCCGAGCCCCACAUAACCCCCCAUCCUCUGCGGUACACUGGGGUGGGGGUGGUGAUGUCAGCCUUGGGUAUCUUGGAAGGUUCUGUGACAGUUGAGGCCCUGGAGGGAGUGGGGAAGGUCAGAAAAGCCUGGAAGGGGGAGCACAACUGUUGUACCUGAGGAGAAAUCUGAGGGGACAAGGAGGGACCUGAAGGGAUAAGAAGAGAUCAAGACUUGGGAAGGAGCUAAAGAGAUGGGAGAUAACUAUGGCAGAAAUAAAAGAAACUGAAGACAAAUAUUAGGGCCUGGAUAAAGAGAGGAAGCAAAACCGGAUAAGGGCAGACCGAUGGAUAGUCCGGGCUCCCGGUCCUGGGCUGGGUUUUGCCUGCCUUGUACCCAGGAGCCUCUCAGCCUUUAGUGGAAAAUGAAGAAAAAGGGUUCAUUAAACCAAAAAGACGAAUUGGUGCCCUUCAAAAUGGCCCUGAACAUCCUUUGCCUUAUACUUCUCCUCCUCACCGUGUUCUUGCCCUACUGGCUGAAGAUACAAAAGUCUCAACAAGAGUGUAUCCACGUGGGCAUAUGGAAAUCCUGUGGGAAUCACAUAUGUGAGAACCUUGUGAAGUCAGUCUUAAUUAAGGCAGUUCAAGUGCUGAUGGGCUCAGCCAUUGUAACUGGCAUCUUGGCUCUUGUGAACAUUUUCCUGCUGCUGAUCAAUGUAGUGAAUGAUAGGACCUCCUUCUUCCUUUCCUCUGCCCUGUGCAGCUUUGUCACUGCCUUACUGGGCCUUUUUGGUCAAAGCAUCUUCAUGGUGACCACCAGCACUUCAGCGUUGGGACGCGUUGAUUUCCUUUAUUUUGACUGGGCCUUCUACCUAGGCUGGGGCACUUACAUCCUCUACCUCCUGAAUGGGUCCCUGAUACUGGUGAGGAAGCACUCCACCAGGGUGAAGCCAGCAAAGCAAUCUAGAGUCAUGUCGAUACAAGAGUGCAAGUCGGUGGCCGUGUGAAGACAGCCCAGCUCCCUUGUCCUGGGAUGGACCUCCUGCAGCUGUGUGUGUGUGUGUGUGUGUG